UGCGGCCAAAACCUGUGGGUGAAAAGAGAAGACACAGCUUCAGAAUUCAGAGGCAGACAUGGAUGCUUACUGACGAGUUGAAGGCUGCCAUCUUAUACCUCGUGAUCAAGAAGCACCUGAAAGUCUAUGGGAAGAUGCCAUAGAGGAGGAGGAGACAACGUGAAGGGAAAGACUUAACAGUGUUCUAUGUGAACCUCUGCAAAUUCAACAAGAUUCUGUUCACAAAUAAGACAGAUUCUGCUUAGCUUUGAUUUUGUUCCCACUGCUAUCUCCAGCUUUUGCAAUCCCAUCAGAGAUCAAUGGUGCCUUUU